UAGGGAAUCUUCCGCAAUGGGCGAAAGCCUGACGGAGCAACGCCGCGUGAGUGAUGAAGGUCUUCGGAUCGUAAAACUCUGUUAUUAGGGAAGAACAAAUGUGUAAGUAACUAUGCACGUCUUGACGGUACCUAAUCAGAAAGCCACGGCUAACUACGUGCCAGCAGCCGCGGUAAUACGUAGGUGGCAAGCGUUAUCCGGAAUUAUUGGGCGUAAAGCGCGCGUAGGCGGUUUUUUAAGUCUGAUGUGAAAGCCCACGGCUCAACCGUGGAGGUGCAUUGGAAACUGGAAAACUUGAGUGCAGAAGAGGAAAGUGGAAUUCCAUGUGUAGCGGUGAAAUGCGCAGAGAUAUGGAGGAACACCAGUGGCGAAGGCGACUUUCUGGUCUGUAACUGACGCUGAUGUGCGAAAGCGUGGGGAUCAAACAGG
rnacentral:rRNA from 1 species